GCCUGGCUGGCUCAGCUGGGGGAGCAUGUGACUUUUGAUCUUGUAGUCAUGAGUUCAAGCCUCAUGUUGGGCA
rnacentral:tRNA from 1 species